GCGUUCAACCUCGGAGCCUUUGUC
rnacentral:miRNA from 2 species